AUUGAACGCUGGCGGCAGGCCUAACACAUGCAAGUCGAACGGUAACAGGAAGAAGCUUGCUUCUUUGCUGACGAGUGUCGGACGGGUGAGUAAUGUCUGGGAAACUGCCUGAUGGAGGGGGAGAACUACUGGAAACGGUAGCUAAUACCGCAUAACGUCGCAAGACCAAAGAGGGGGACCUUCGGGCCUCUUGCCAUCGGAUGUGCCCAGAUGGGAUUAGCUAGUAGGUGGGGUAACGGCUCACCUAGGCGACGAUCCCUAGCUGGUCUGAGAGGAUGACCAGCCACACUGGAACUGAGACACGGUCCAGACUCCUACGGGAGGCAGCAGUGGGGAAUAUUGCACAAUGGGCGCAAGCCUGAUGCAGCCAUGCCGCGUGUAUGAAGAAGGCCUUCGGGUUGUAAAGUACUUUCGGCGGGGAGGAAGGGAGUAAAGUUAAUACCUUUGCUCAUUGACGUUACCCGAAGAAGAAGCACCGGCUAACUCCGUG
rnacentral:rRNA from 1 species